CCUCUAAACGAACCUUAUGAAGAAAACAUUGCCCUUUGUCUUACGUCUGAAAUGAAAGUACGCAGGAUUAACAAGAACAAGAAAUGAAUUGGAGAAAUUAUAUUUCAAGCUACAUACCUUUGAAUGUAAGGAAAGGAAGGAUUCUGCUGUAAAAAGAGGGGUUGGUAAAGAGAAAAUAAGGCUACAGCAAUACAGAGACUGGGAAGAGGAAAUGUCCUAUUCAGGAGUCCAUAUCUGUGAACUUCAGGCAUAAUAUUAGAAUAAUAAAUGUUAAAAAAUGGAAAAUUCAUUGUCAAAAUCACACACAGGGGAGAAACGACAUAAUUGUAAGGACUGUGGGAAAUGUUUCAUUGAGAGAAGUUCUCUUGCUAAACAUCAACGAACUCACACAGGAGAGAAGCCAUAUAAAUGUGUGGAAUGUGGAAAGAGCUUCAGUCAGAGUGGACAUCUACACACCCAUCAGAGGACCCACACAAGGGAGAAGCCACAUACAUGCAUGGAAUGUGGAAAGAGCUUCAGUCGGAGUGACUAUCUACGUUCCCAUCAAAGGACGCACACAGGAGAGAAGCCACAUACAUGCAGGGAAUGUGGAAAGAGAUUCAGUGAGAGUGGACAUCUGCGUAUCCAUCAAAGGAUGCACACAGGAGAGAGGCCACAUACAUGCAUGGAAUGUGGAAAGAGCUUCAGUGAGAGUGGAAAUCUACGCACCCAUCAAAGGACUCACACAGGGGAGAGGCCACAUACAUGCAUGGAAUGUGGAAACAGCUUCAGUCAGAGUGGACAUCUGCGUAUCCAUCAAAAGAGUCACACAGGGGAGAAGCCACAUAAAUGCAUGGAAUGUGGAAAGAACUUCAGUAACAGUUCGAAUCUUCGUACCCAUCAAAAGAUUCACACAGGAGAGAAGCCACAUAAAUAGGACAAGUGCAAAGAAGCCAGAAUGGUUGUCCAAAGAACUUCUAACGACUAUGACUCAAAAGAGACAUGAACAGGAAGUGGAAGGGGAAGAAAUCACAAAAUCAUAUAACCAUAGAGUUGGAAGAGACCUCAUGGGACAUCUAGUCCAACCCCCUGCCAAGAAGCAGGAAAUUCCAUUCAAAGCACCCCGGACAGAUGGCCAUCCAGCCUCUGCUUAAAAGCCUCCAAAGAAGGUUCCACAGCUGAACUGCUCUCACAGUGAGGAAGUUCUUCCUUAUGUUCAGGUGGAAUCCCCUUUCCUGUAGUUUGAAGCCAUUAUUCUGCAUCCUAGUUUGCAGAGCAGCAGACAACAAGCUUUCUCCCUCCUCCUUAUGGGAUUUUGGCCUGCAUAAAUAGGGGCAGAGUGUCUAGAUCCAGGGAAGUCAUGGCACCCCUCUAUUCUGCCUUGGUCAGACCACUUUACCUGGAAUCACACUGUGUCUAAUUCUGGGCACUGCAAUUGAAAGGAGACGUUGAAAAGCUGGAAGAAAUAGAAGAGGCAAAUGUAGUAGCAUUGAGGAAAAUAGUUCAAAAAAAUUAAUACACAUCUAUCUUGGUUUGGAAAGACAGCAAUACUAAAAAUGAAAAUGCUUCUGAGGAUAAACUUUAUACUUACAUAUACCUUAUAUUUAUAAUGCCAUUUCAGAUUACAGAAGAAGAGUUGAAUACAUUAUUUCUUUGCAACAUUUCUACCCCACCUUUCUCCACCCCAAAGGAGACUCAUUUGGACAAAUGAUAAAUACUGUAAUGGCAGUCAAAGAAAUUGACGAAACAAGUUACAGAACAGAUCUCAAAAAGAAGAAGGAUUAGCGCUUCCUCAUAUGAAAAAAUAUUAUAAAGCAAACAGACUGAGAUUGGUUAUACAAGGAAUGAUGAAAAGGAGGAUGUAGAAUAGUUAAUAAUGGAUUCAGGAAAAGUGGAAGAAAAAAUUCAGAAUAGGUUUUAAAAUAGUUUAUGAGAAAAAAAAUAAGGUAAACUGGGAACCCAAUGUUGAGUAAUGCAUUAGAAAUAUGGAACAAAUACAGGAGAAAGUUAAUAACAGAUGGCUCCAUAAUAACCCCAAUUAUAAUGGAAAAGACAUUUCCAAAAAAUAAAAUAUAUAUAUGAUGGAUAAAAAAAUUAAGGGGAAAAACUUAGAUAAAAUAGGGGAUUGGCCAAAGGUUGGAAUGAAGAAAGAAAAGAUUAGGAACAUAAAAAUUUGAAAGGAAUAUCCAGUAAAAUUUCUAAAAUAUUAAUCGAAAAAAACAAAGCAAAAGUAAAGAAUAACACCUUCAAGAAGAUUUGGAAAGAAGAUAUAGGAAUGAAAAUCAAUGAAACAGAGGGGUUACAAUUAUGGGGACAAAGACACUUGAAAAAUAUAUCCAUAUGUGUUAAAGAAAAUUAUUAUUUAGUUGAUAUGGAAAUGGUACCUCACACCCAUAAGAAUAGGAAAUAUAAAUAAAAACUACUCAAACAAUUGCUGGAGAGGAUGCCAAGAAUCGGGAACAUACAUACAUAUGUGGUGGCAGUGUCAAUAUGUAAAUAAUUUCUGGGGAAAAGUAUUAAGAGAGAUAGAAGAUACAAUGAACAUUCAAAUAGAAAGAAGUCUUAGCAUGGCUUUAUUCUCAUUAUAUAAUAAUAAACAGUUGGAAAAAGAGGACAAAGAUGCGAUAACAAACGCAUUAACAAUUGCAAGACAGCUUAUAGCAAGGAAUUGGAAAAGGGAAAUAAAUAUAGAGAUAGAAGAAUGGUAUAAGGAAGUAUGGAAACUGGGAAGAAAUGAUAGGUUGACGUGGAGAGGGAUUUAGAAACAAAGUGGUUGUGAUGAUGUCUGGAGAAAAUGUAUUGGAAGAGGAUUCACAAAGAAAGAGGGAAUUACCUCCUCAAGAGGGAAUGAAAAGGAAUUUUGGACAGAUGAUAAAUAAAAAAAGUGACUUGGGGGAGGGUAAGAAAUCUGUAUAAGCGUGAAAAUAACAGUAGAUGCCAAAUGUUAAUGUAUUGUAGAUUGUACUGAAUAUAAUGUGGCUGCUGUAAAAGGAUGUACGAAUUUUUUUUAAAAUAAAUAAAUAAAUGUAUUUGUAAUUUGUAUAAA